rnacentral:lncRNA from 1 species
CAUGAAGUAGAGGAGACAGGACGAGGGAGAAAGGACGAAGGAAGCAUCAGUUGGAGCAGUUCAGCAUGAGCCACAUGAACCACGGUCCGUGCGUGGACAAGGCGACGUGGAUGUACACGACGUUGCCUUGGAGAUCGAGGCGCGGGCAGAAACAGUACAAACAAUAAGAGCCGUUGUUAAAAACAGCCACAACCAUGACAUGAUGGCAUCAUUUCCACAUAAAAGAUAUGCUACGGUUUCACGUCACAGCUGAACCGCUGAGGUUCUGCUCCAAACCCGGUGAGCGGCUUAUGGUCACUGUUCGUUGAAAGUUUCAGACCAAAACUCAUCAGGGAAACUAAUGAACAAAAACACAGCGGGGGACUCUAUGAUUCCAAACUGGAUCUACCCGCUCACCUGAAAGAGGCGCGCCCUGAGCAGGACGUCAAAAAGCUUAAACCUACGGGCACCUGUCAAUUAAACCAACCUCACCGCAGCGGGCGCGUGACGGUAAAUGCCACUCAACCCGUUUCUUUCGCCAUUCAAGGGUCCGACACACCUGACGCAGGACAAAGCUGCCAUAUAAAAGCUGCAGGUGUUUGUUGAGCGACACUCAUCACUAAGCGGCCGAACCAACGGGACCAGGCGGCGUCGACGGACACGAACAGCUCAAUUUUUUUUCACAAUGAUGAUGAAAACCUGUAUUGUUCUUCUCCUGCUGUUUGUUGCCUCAGGCAACACACAGACUUUAACAACAGUUCCUCCAGCCACCACCACAGUGGCCAUGACCACGGAAUCAACUACCACCGGAGCAACAACUACCACAGGAGCAACCAACACCACAGUGGCCAUGACCACAGGAGCAACUACGACCGGAGCAACUACGACCGGAGCAACAACUACCACCGGAGCAACAACUACCACCGGAGCAACAACUACCACAGGAGCAACAACUACCACAGGAGCAACCACCACCACAGUGGCCAUGACCACAGGAGCAACUACGACCGGAGCAACUACGACCGGAGCAACAACUACCACAGGAGCAACAACUACCACAGGAGUAACUACGACCGGGGGAUCAACUACCACCGGAGGAUCAACUACCACCGGAGGAGCAACUACCACCGGAGGAUCAACCGCCACUGUAUCCACAACAAAAGCCACCUCUUCAGCAGCCAUAAACAAAACAAGCUUCCUUCUACUCACAUCAGUUGUCUCCUCACUUCUUUGGAAAUGAAUUUGCUCAAAUGAGGGACCAAACAGCUUGUUUGUAGUUGACACACUGAUGUUUAUAUGAAGGCGCAGCCUGAUUUGUGAGGCUUUAUUGUCAGGUUCUCUUCUUUUGUCCUGUUUAUAUUAAAGACGUAGAAAGGCAGCGUUCAACAGAUCUAAGUGACCCACACAGUGUGGCGACAGCUCUGUAGAACACUGUAGAUGCAUAAAACAUGUCCAAAUAUUAAAAGCACACAAACAUAGCAAACGUUGCUGCCUCAUCCUGUGUCUUUAUUUUGACUUAUGACUUACAGCAUA